UUGAACCGUGUUCGCUCAGCCAACCUAAUAUUACUCGUAGUUGCGAGUUUAUUUCCUCGGUCGCCUGCGGCGUCGGGACUUUAACUAAUCAUCCCUCAGUUGCGGGGACAUUUAAUCACUAAAUUCCCCUCGUGCCAUGCUAUAACUUAUAAUAAUCCAGCAUGAUUUUGACUGUUAUCGAGCUUUGGCAAAAUUACUUCAAAAUCACUCAACCACGCAGGUGCUCCUGUACGAAGGCUCUCUUACGUUGUAAGCAGUCAGCGUUGAGUAAGUCUUUGCAUCUCUCGUGGCACUUGACACCGCAAUCUGCGCAGUGCGCAUCACGUCACCUCUGCAUUUGAGUCCCUGCCAGGCCAGGCCCCACAGUAGUCCCUCGCACUCGUAGCAGUACGCGGGAACCUGGGUCGAGAAGCUUUCAAAGUUAUGCGGAGUUGUGUCUGCAACAGAAAAGAGUCGUUUAGAAGGACAAUAACACACAAAUACCCAAAGAAAAUAUUUCUAUGAUUCGAAGAACAUAGUGUGAAGACCCUUUGUCUAAAAGGCCGCUAGGCCCCUCACACAUCAUAAACCAUCCUAUCAAAUGUAUAUGCUGUCAUUCAUCUAGAUGGAAUGUAUACGAGAACUGGUGCGAAAAUGUGGAAUGCAUUGGAAAAUAAGGGGCUACUCAAAAUAGGUUCCACGAAAAACGAGCUUUUUGGAUGGCAAAUUCGCGUGCGUUCCAACUUUUGGUGCGAAAUAACAACAACAAAAAUAAACUUUUGUUCAGCGCUUUCGGAUUAGCCAGAAAUAUCCAGAAAAGGCUUAUUCUUAUAGAAAGAUUUUAUAUUUGUUCGCUCUGUGAGGUGACGACCGCAUUCACUCCUCUCCAAAAGGAUUCUUACUGUCUUAAGAACCGUAGCCAGAGUUGAUCUGGAGCUGAAACUUGUUGGGGUUUGUUCUCAUUUGCGGUAUUAUUAUCUCGCGUGUGAUUGGCUGAUCUAAAUACAUCUAUUUCAAUUAGGGUCACAAGCCAGUCAUCACCCGCAGUGGCUUUUGGGUAAUGUAUAAAUUCUAGUCUCUGGAGUCAAUAUUUACUGGAAGGUACGGCUUUCCAAACCUGGAUUAGUUUUUUUUUUGCGCUUAUUUGCCUUUUUGUUUGAUACCCAUAAAACACUGCGGGUUACGACACAUGAAUUCUCAGAGUGCUAUCUUAUCUGAAAUACGCUACGAGUUAAAUCAGCUGGUGGAGCUGUUUUUUCGCAUUUC